CACGGGGGGAGCAAGCGUUGUUCGGAAUCACUGGGCGUAAAGGGCGUGUAGGCGGUUCGGUAAGUGGGAUGUGAAAUGCCCCGGCUCACCCGGGGACCUGCAUCCCAAACUGCCGAGCUUGAGUAUGGGAGAGGAUGUGGGAAUUCCUGGUGUAGCGGUGAAAUGCGUAGAUAUCAGGAGGAACACCGGUGGCGAAGGCGCACAUCUGGCCCAAUACUGACGCUGAGGCGCGAAAGCUAGGGGAGCAAACAGG
rnacentral:rRNA from 1 species